rnacentral:rRNA from 1 species
UACGGGGGGGGCAAGCGUUGUUCGGAAUUACUGGGCGUAAAGGGCUCGUAGGCGGCCAACUAAGUCCGACGUGAAAUCCCAAGGCUUAACCUUGGAACUGCGUCGGAUACUGGAUGGCUUGAAUUCGGGAGAGGGAUGCAGAAUUCCAGGUGUAGCGGUGAAAUGCGUAGAUAUCUGGAGGAAUACCGGUGGCGAAGGCGGCAUCCUGGACCGACAUUGACGCUGAGGAGCGAAAGCCAGGGGAGCAAACGGG